CGCUCGCGGAAGGGAAGCGGAAGCGGAAGGGCGUCCCGGGUGACGCGCCAGUUCCACCAUGGCGGCCCCGGAGGCCGCGGCCGCCGCCGGCCCCGGGCUGCUGGGCGUCCUGUGGCUCGUGUCCGUGACCGUGAGCGCGGGGCCGUGGGGGGCAGUGGCCGCCGCCGCGGGGGGCGACGAGACGGUCAAGUGCGAGGACCUGAGAAUGGGACAAUAUCCUCUGUAGCGGCGGGGGCGCGGUGGAGGGGCCCGCAUCCCGAGCCUUAGAGUCCGGCGCUUAGAACCCGGGCCCUUGGGGGGGGGGGGGGCUGUCGUUCUAGAACCCCCUGGGAGGGGGGGGCCUGACCCCCAGACCCGCCCCGCGGGAGGCCCCAGGCCCAGAACCGCCCGCGGGGGCCGGGGGGCCCGCCAGCCCCGGCGGGGGGGAGGGUUAGAACCCGGCCCCGCCCCUCGGGAGGCCCCAGACCCAGAACCGCCCGCGGGGGCCGGGGGUCCCGCCAGCCCCGGCGGGGGGGAGGGUUAGAACCCGGGCCCGCCCCGCGGGAGGCCCCAGACCCAGAACCGCCCACGGGGGCCGGGGGUCCCGCCAGCCCCGGCGGGGGGGAGGGUUAGAACCCGGGCCCGCCCCGCGGGAGGCCCCAAACCCAGAACCACCCGCGGGGCCCGGGGGGGGCCCCUCGCCAGCCCCGGCGGGGGUGAGGGUUAGAACCCGGGCCCGCCCCGCGGGGGGAGGGGGCGGGGCUUAGAAUCCGGGCCCAUCCCUCUGGGACAAGAGAAGCUCAAACCUAGAACUUGGGGGCUGGGAGGGAGAGCCCAGAACGCGGCGGCCCUGGCGGCCUAGAACGCAGCUUGUUACCGGGGGACCCACGAUGCCGGCGCGGGGGCGGGGCCUCUAGAACGCGGCACCUCGGCGCUGGGGGGCCGAGAACACCCCGCCCAAGCCAGGAGGGCCCCACAAUGUGGCGCUUCCCUGGGAGGGGGCCCUAGAACACCAGCCUCAGGGACCCCCCCCCCCCAUAGAACAUCCCCGGGAAACACCGAAGGGCUUUGGAGGCGCAGGAUGUCGGAGCUGGGGGACACCUUAGAGCGCAGGAUCUCUGAGCUGAAAGGGACGCUAGAACACAGGAUGUCCGAGCUCGUGGGGACCCUAGAGCACAGGAUGUCGGAGCUGGGGGGGACCUUGGGGCACAGAACGUCCGAGCUGGAAGGGACCGUGGAGCACCGGAUCUCCGAGCUGGGCUGGGCCCUAAAGCGCCGCGUGUCGGGGCUGGGCGGGAGCCUGGGGCGCAGGCUGUCCCUGCACAGGACGUCAGAGCUGGUGGGGAACCUAGAGUACAGGACCUCCGAGCUGGGAGUCACCUUGCAGUACAGGGACGUGGAGCUGGGGCGGACCCUGGAGUGCCGCCUGUCCGAGCUCAGAGGCACCGUGGGACACCGAGUGUCCGAGCUGGGCCAGGCCGUGGGGCGGGCCACCGUGUCGGACCUGGGGGGGACCCUGGAAGUCUUCCUGUCUGAGCUGGGGGACACCUUGGGACACAGAAUGUCAGAACUCGAAGGGACCCUAGAACACAAAGUGUCGGAGCUGGAAGGGACCCUAGAGCACAGAAUGUCCGAGCUGGGAGGGACCUUAAGGCACCGAAUGUCCGAGCUGGGAGGCUCCUUAGGGCGCAGAAGGUCCGCGCUCGGAGGGACCCUAGAACACAGAAUGUCUGAGCUGGGAGGGACCCUAGAACACAGAAUGUCCGAGCUGGAAGAGAGCUUAGAACACAGGAUAUCGGAGCUGGAAGAGACCUUAGAACACAGGAUCUCGGAGCUGGGAGCCACCUUAGAACACAGGAUGUCCGAGCUAGAGGGCCUCUUAGAACACCGGAUGUCCGAGCUGGAGGGGGUCUUGGGACGGAGGAUGUCGGGAUUGGGAGGAACUCUGGGUCGGCGAAUGGCUCAGCUGGGAGCCACCUUAGAACGCAGAAUGUUGGAGCUGGGAGGGACCUUGAGACAGAGGAUGUCCAAGCUGGGAGUGACUUUAGAACAGAGGAUGUCCGAGCUGGGCGGGGCCUUAGAACACAGAAUGGCCGAGCUGGGAGGGACCCUAGAGCACAGAAUGGCCGAGCUGGGAGCCACCUUGGAGCACCGAAUGGCUGAGCUAGGAGCCACCUUAGCACACAGAAUGGUUGAGCUGGGAGGGUCCUUAGAACACAGAAUGUCCAAGCUGGGCGGAGGUUUGGGACUUAGAAUGUCUGACCUGGAAGUGACCUUAGAGCAUAGAAUGUCUGAGCUGGAAGUGACCUUAGAGCACAGAAUCUCAGAGCUGGAAGUGACCUUAGCCCACAGGAUGGCCGAGCUGGGAGCCACUUUAGGACACAGGAUGGCCGAGCUGGGAGCCACCUUUGGACACAGAGUGUCCGAGCUGGGAGCUAUCUUGGGGCGAAGAAUGCCAGAGCUGGAUGGAACCCUAGGGCAUAGGAUGUCGCAGCUGGGAAUGGUCUUAGAACUUAGAAUGUCGCAGCUGGGAGUGACCUUAGGACGGAGGAUGUCUGAAUUGGGAGUGACUUUUGGAGUCAGAAUGUCCCAUUUGGGGGCUAUCUUAGGACACAGAAUGUUGGGGCUGGGAGGGACCUUAGGACGGAGGAUGUCUGAGUUGGGAAGGACCUUGGGACAUAAGAUGGCCGAGCUGGGGGUGACCCUGGGAUACAGAAUGUCCGAGUUGGGGGGGACCUUAGGACAUCGAAUGUCUGAACUCGGGGUGUCCUUAGGGCGCAGAAUAGCAGAGCUGGAAGCCACCUUAGGAUGUAGAAUGUCUGAGCUGAAAUCGACCUUAGAGCACAGAAUGUCCGAGCUGGGAGAGACUUUAGAGCACAGGAUGUCCGAGCUGGGGGGAACCCUAGAACACAGGAUGUCCGAGCUGGGGGGCACCCUAGAACACAGGAUGUCCGAGCUGGGGGGAACCUUAGAACACAGGAUGUUAGAGCGGGGAGGAAUCUCGGGCCAUAGAAUGUCCCAGCUGGGAGGGAGCUUCUGACAACCCAGGUCUGGAGGGGCUGCGGCCACAUCCUUGGUUUCUGGGGGGGAAUCUGGUGGAAAGCUGAGCCCCAGCGAGGGGUCUAGUGUGGGGGACAGCCGGCAUCUUCCCUGCCUGGGUGGCCUUGGGCCAGUCCCUCCGCUUUCCUCCUCCCCGAAACACGAGGCUGGCGCAUCUCCGCGACCCCUGGGACCCCAGCUAUUCACCUGCAGUGCACGGGGUCUCUGGUGCCCUUCCUUUUCUCAGUGCUUUGCUCUUCCCCCCAGCUUUCUCAUCCGGCUCAGUCCCACAACCCCUCCCGAAGCCCGCGCCGUCACAGUCAGUGUGCCUUAAGCUUGCGUCCUCAGUGCUGCCAAAGCUGUGGAGUCCUAGCCUUCUUAGUCUGUCUGCCCACCCCCCCUCAGUCUCACCCCUACGCCUCCCUGCUGUGCAGAGGCGUUCCUGGGUUUUCAAAGGCAAGGCCAGGCGCCCAAGCAGGGAGCGGCCUGGUGGUUAGGUCUGGCCAAGGAGGCCUGGGCUGGAUUGUCUGGACAGACAGUUGGCCGCUGUCUGGCGGGGGGAUAGACCCUGGAGACCGGGCCUGGACGAAUGGAGGAUGGGAUUCUCGGGGCUGUGUGUGUGUGUGUGUCAUUCCCCCUUACGGGGCUUGUCUUCCUAAAGUCUAUCUUCCCUUUCCCACAGUUUAGGCAUUUAAAAGUGUAAAAGCUAAAAGGAUGAAUGAGAAAUGGUGCUGCCCUCAGAAAGCUUGUGUUCUAGUAGGGAGCCAUGACACACCGAUCCCCACUGGAGAGAUCCCAUUCUCCCCUUCGUCCAGGCCCGCAGGCCAGGGGCUGCCUGUUGGGGAAGCUGCUACAGAAAAUAGGGCGGAAGGCAGGGAGGGGUGCUUUCUGGGCUCUGGCUAGCAGAGGUUGAGAGUCUUUGUUUCCAUGUGGGGAAAGGACCUAGCAAGCCUCUGGUAUUGCUGUCAGAGGAGACGAAUGCACUCCACGAGAUUCAGGAACUUCUGACGCUGGGCCUGCAUGGCAUGCUGUUCACGGCUGGGAGUCCCGCCAGAUCAAGUUUUCCUCUUCUCCCUCAGCCUCCCCAAAAAAGAAUCAAGAAGAAAAUAAUAAUGCAGAAGAAAAAGGCUCAGGAACUUAAUAUUCUAGAUCCUGAAAUAAAUGAGGCCACUCAGGAACCUGUUAACUGUACAAACUAUACAGCUCAUGUGUCAUGUUACCCAGCACCCAACGUAACUUGUAAGGACUUUAGCGGCAAUGAAACCCAUUUUACCGGAAGUGAAGUUGGUUUUUUCAAGACCACAUCUUGCCGUAAUGUAAACGGCUAUUCCUACCGGGUGGCGGUCGCGCUCUCGUUAUUUCUUGGCUGGUUAGGAGCCGACAGGUUUUACCUGGGGUACCCAGCUUUAGGUUUGUUAAAGUUUUGCACUGUAGGAUUUUGUGGAAUUGGCAGUCUGAUAGAUUUCAUUCUCAUUUCAAUGCAGAUUGUUGGUCCUUCAGAUGGCACUAGUUACAUUAUAGAUUAUUAUGGAACAAGACUUACAAGACUGAGCAUUACCAAUGAAACGUUUAGAAAAACACAGAAGUACCCAUAGAUAUUUAGAAAACAACUCAAUGGUUUGCGGUGCCUCCUUGAUUUUAAGAAAACUCCAGAGGGUGAAUUCCCAGGCUUCCUCAUCGUUCCCCUUCGCACAGCACGUCGUGGUUGCUUCAAUGUGAUUUUUACUGGAGUUUUUUUUUUUUUUCUUUUUCUUUUAGAAAUUUUAUUUUGAGAUUUGUUUGACUGGAGACCGAAGUCUCUUGUCUCCCAUGAGGGCUUUCUCACCCCCCACUCGCCUUCCUGUCCCACCCCAAAUGCCUUUUCUAGAGGCAAGUUGUGGCUUGUCGUUUUUCCUUCUUCAAAAUAAAACAAUAGAAUGGCCUCUUUGCUAUGAUGCUUCAUUCACACCAUUUCUGGGCUUUCCCUUAUGAGUCUGAAUGGAUCUGGGGGGGCCUGGGUUUGAAUAUGGUUAUUUUGUUCCUCACUGUCUCUGUGAC
ensembl:lncRNA